rnacentral:rRNA from 1 species
UACGUAGGGACCGAGCGUUGUCCGGAUUCAUUGGGCGUAAAGAGCUCGUAGGCGGCUGUUCAAGUCGAACGUGAAAACUCGGAGCUCAACUCCGAGCCUGCGUUCGAUACUGGACGGCUAGAGUCUGGUAGGGGGAUCUGGAAUUCCUGGUGUAGCGGUGGAAUGCGCAGAUAUCAGGAGGAACAUCAGUGGCGAAGGCGGCCUUCUGGUCCGGUAUUGACGCUGAGGCGCGAAAGCCAGGGGAGCAAACGGG